CACAACGGGGAAGCAAUGCCCAAAGUAUGUCAUGUCUUGGAUUUCAAGCCAACUCACUGAAAUCGAGUAAAGAUGAGGAAAGAGAAGUUUCUGUUUGUGCUCCAAUGUCCUCAUCACUCACCACAUAGUUCUGCUGAUGGGAAAGAGAGGCUGCCGGAAGGAAACAGAAGUUCAUCAAGGGCUGGCAAAAUAUUAAUCUGGAAGCUCACGGAUGGGCAGUGAUGCGGGCUCUCCGGCAGCGGGCGUCCCCUUCAUGGUCAUGCUACCUGUGGGCUGGACGAGCCCACCACCCCGUCCUUGCAAGGGGGCGGGGGGCACUCACCGUGACGCACCACUCAUCCUCUGUUCUAGAUCUACCUCCACAUUACUUUCUGAGACACGAGGCCGGGAGGGGAAUGGAGACAGAAAGGGAGCAGCAGAGUUCAGCAAGAAGCACAGGCUUUUGCUCCAUGGAGCUACAGAUUCAAACAGGCUUCUCUCCCCAGAUUGAGAUGUCACAAGAAUCAUUUCAGUUCCUCAUGAAACCGUGGCAUGGAGCCAUCCCACACAAGGUCCCUGAAUCACAGGGGAGGCCUUGCUGGCUACAGUCAGGCACUGGGGUGCCAUGGGCCGGUUAUAUUCUUGGGCAGGAUCUGGAAGGCCCACACCUUUGUUCUGACCACUACCUCCUCUGUAGUGUUUUGCUCCUGGGAAUAGCCCUGACAUCUGUCCAAUGCAAAGGGUGUUACUGUGGUGCAGUGGCUCUCAGCCAUGACGUUGCAUCAUUAGAACUCCUUAAAAGAUCUAAACAAUAAUCUGAUGCUUGGUCUGCACUCUUGGGGAUUCUCGUAUAGUAGGUCUGGGGUGGCAACGGGGCAGCUGAUUAUUAGAACACGGUCGCCUGGCCUGGGAAUCAUUGUUCUAGACUCUAGAAUCUAGAGCAGUGAUUUCCAAACAUUUCCAUGCAUCAGAAUCCCCUGGAGGGCUUGUUAAAACACAGAUUGCUGGGCCCCACCCUAGAGUUUCUGGGAGUUCUGGGGUGGGACCCGUGGAUUUGCCUUUCUAGCAAGUUCCCAGGUGUUGCUGAGGCUGCUGGGGGCAAGACUGUGAGAACCACUAUUUUAGUACCCCAUCAGGUCGGACCAGGGAAGGGACUUGAACAGACAGAGAAACAUGGGCUUGAUUCAGGGUAUUUGAGUCCUGUGGGGAAACCACUGGCAAGUCUGUCUCUCCAGAUCUCGGUUUUGUUGUGUGCGGAUACUAAGUCCAUCGGCGGGUGGGGGGGGGGGGGCGGGGGGGCCAACAAGGUAACAUAAUAUCUGCUGAUCUCCAGAUAAUUCCCCCUGGAGGGCACCAGGGAAAGAUCAAGGAUGAUGAACAAGGGAUGGGUGAAACAAAGCCCAGGAAAACAAAGCAUUUCAAAAUUGAAAUUACUCAAAGCUUCUUUAAAACCCACCACCAGUGGGAACCUGAAAGUGUAAUUAUUACAGAACCCACGAAUAUAAUUAGGCGCUUCCCUCCUGUCCCCACCCACUUCUCCCAGGCUUUGGGAAUGGGAGAAGGCGGGAGGGGGUCCGGAGAGUCUCCAGACUCACAACACAACACCCUACAUUCCCCUGCUCUUAUAAACUUCCUCAAAAAACAGUACUUGGAUCUGGCUGGAGCCAAACCCCAGAGCUUCUUGUCCAUCAAUUAAUAUUUAUUGGGCCUUCACAAUGAGCUAAGCAGGCAUAUAAAAGACAACAGUUCCUGCAGACUGUUAUUAAGCCAGAGAAGAACAAGCACCUCGCCUUCCUUUUCAGAAGGUGCUGGCAGCUGGGUGGUUGUGUCUGGGUCAAAACGAACAUCCAACCACUCAGCCCACAAAAAUUUACUGAGCACUCGCUACGUUGCCGACACGGUUGUAGGUACUGGAGGUGUGGCAGUGAGCGAGACAGUCAGAAGCCCUGGGCCAGGUGGAGGGUACAGGAGAGGGACCCUAAGAAGAAUGGGAGAGAGGCCGGUGGCAGGUACAGCCCCACACGUGGAACCCUGAGUCCCCGCCACCUUGCCGUAACCCUGAUUUUACAUGCUCCUUUCCAAAAAACUGCUACUGGGAUGUAGCUGUGUAGGAUUUCGAGGCCACCGGGGGAAGGAGUCUGAGUUUAGACCACGUGAAGUGCGUUUUCCCCAAGAAUGAAUCAGAUGCUCGUUGGAGCUCUGAAUCUCUUGCCCAAGUAAAAUAUUCACCUUCAAACCAUUUGAAGCCAGAAAAUCUCCAGAGCAUCUUCUCAUCAGCUGCCCUGCUCCUCAGAUGCCAUGGGCCAGUUUGGAAGCUGCCUUGACCCUCACUGGAAGCUGUGACUCCUCCAGGUCAAAGGUGGCUUGUCAAACUCUCCCAAAAGGCACUUGCGGGUUUCCAGCGUGUGCAGUGCCCUUCUGGGAAGGUGGCUGGGGACCAGAAAGUCCGUAUCUGAGCCUGACUGGUGGCCACAGCAGGAGUGCUCCCAGUCAGGAUCCUGGGACUAGAAGCUUCACAGAAGCAGGUAUCAUCGUCCACCAUGGCCAUCUGAGCACCUAGCAGUUUCUUUGGAACCCAACGGGUGAGUGAAAGAAGGAAUGAGUGAAUAAAUAAAUCAGAAGCACUUUGUGGGGAUCCCUG
rnacentral:lncRNA from 12 species